rnacentral:sRNA from 1 species
GAGGAAAUGAUGGGAUGGAUAAUGAACGCCACCGUAUGACUGUGCGUAACAUGCUCACUUACGGAGAAUCGAGGAGAAAGCCCCGUCCUUGAGGACGGGGAUGAAUCCGACAAUCAGACUAAC